ACAGUCUACAUGUGCCAAAGGAUUGCAACACCAAGAAACGCACUUGAGAAAUUAUUUGUUGGGGGUUGGAGUGGCGUUGUUCAAUAUCAUCAUUGAAUUUUUAGUUGAGAAAAUGGAUGAUGAAGAAAGUGUUCUUGUAGUGUAACUUCCGAGUUUGUCUCUGUAUGUGGCCUUCAGUUUUCAACUCUAUUCCUUCAUUAUUUUGUAAAUGUGGUUAACGUGGGGUGGGGACUUUAAUUUGUGUUUACCACAGCACACUAAAAUUUGUGUUUAUUGUAAGUUGAGACACGAUUCAUUUGUACUAUUUGCUUAAGUUUUGA
rnacentral:lncRNA from 1 species